UGAUGUUCCAAGGGACUUGGAAGUCACCCCUACCAGCCCAACCAGCCUCAAGAUUUCCUGGGAUGCUCCUGCAGUGACAGUCAGAUACUACCGGAUCACUUAUGGUGAAACAGGUGGAAGCAGCCCAGUACAGGAGUUUACAGUGCCUGGCACCGUGUCUACUGCCACCAUCACUGGCAUCAAGCCUGGUGUUGAAUACACCAUCACUGUGUAUGCUGUAACUGGCCGUGGAGACAGCCCUGCCAGCAGCAAGCCAGUCACUGUCACCUACAGAACAG